UGGGGAAUCUUGCGCAAUGGGCGAAAGCCUGACGCAGCCAUGCCGCGUGAAUGAUGAAGGUCUUAGGAUUGUAAAAUUCUUUCACCGGGGACGAUAAUGACGGUACCCGGAGAAGAAGCCCCGGCUAACUUCGUGCCAGCAGCCGCGGUAAUACGAAGGGGGCUAGCGUUGCUCGGAAUUACUGGGCGUAAAGGGAGCGUAGGCGGACAUUUAAGUCAGGGGUGAAAUCCCGGGGCUCAACCUCGGAAUUGCCUUUGAUACUGGGUGUCUUGAGUGUGAGAGAGGUAUGUGGAACUCCGAGUGUAGAGGUGAAAUUCGUAGAUAUUCGGAAGAACACCAGUGGCGAAGGCGACAUACUGGCUCAUUACUGACGCUGAGGCUCAAAGCGUGGGGAGCAAACAGGAUUAGAUACCCUGGUAGUCCACG
rnacentral:rRNA from 1 species